GGCGGCGGCGGCGGCGGGGUCGGGAUGCUGUGCGCGCGGAGGCUGCGAGGGCUCGGGCCCCCGGCGGCGGCUGUGUGGCGGGGGCGAGCGGGCCCGGGCGGCCUGGGGGCUGGGCGCCGGGCCCGGGAGGUCAGCACCAGCUGGUCCCCGGUGGGCGCCGCCUUCAACGUCAAGCCCCAGGGCCGCCGCCUGGACCUGUUCGGCGAGCGCCGGGGUCUUUUUGGAGUUCCUGAGCUCAGUGCCCCAGAAGGAUUUCGGAUUGCACAAGAAAAUGCCCUGAGAAAGGCAGACUUGCUGGUGGAGCGCGUGUGUUCCAUGCCGCCUGGGCCCCAGACCGUGCUCAUUUUCGACGAGCUCUCCGAUUCCUUGUGCAGAGUGGCUGACUUGGCCGAUUUUGUGAAAAUUGCUCACCCUGAGCCCGCAUUCAGAGAGGCGGCGGAAGAAGCUUGUAGAAGUAUUGGCACCAUGGUAGAAAAGUUGAACACAAAUGUGGAAUUAUAUCAGAGUUUGCAAAAAUUGCUAGCUGAUAAAAAACUUGUGGAGUCCCUCGAUCCAGAAACCAGGCGAGUGGCUGAACUGUUUAUGUUUGAUUUUGAAAUCAGUGGAAUCCAUCUAGACAAAGAAAAGCGUAAAAGAGCAGUGGACCUGAAUGUUAAAAUCUUGGAUUUGAGUAAUACAUUUCUUGUGGGAACUAACUUUCCCAACAAGGUUGAGAAGCAUCUCUUACCAGAACACAUUCAUCGUAACUUUGUAGUCACUGGAAAUCAUAUCAUAAUUGAUGGUCUACAUGCAGAAGCUCCAGAUGACUUGGUUCGAGAAGCCGCUUACAAAAUUUUUCUUUAUCCCAAUGCCGGUCAGUUGAAAUGUUUGGAAGAGUUGCUCAGCCACAGAGACCUUCUGGCCAAGUUAGUGGGAUAUUCCACAUAUUCCCACAGAGCCCUCCAAGGAACAAUAGCCAAAAAUCCAGAGACUGUCAUGCAGUUCCUUGAGAAGCUAUCAGACAGACUUUCUGAAAGAACUAUAAAAGACUUUGAGAUGAUACGAAGGAUGAAAAUGAAACUAAAUCCUCAAAAUUCUGAAUUAAUGCCUUGGGAUCCCCCUUACUACAGUGGUGUGAUUCGUGCAGAAAGGUAUAAUAUUGAACCCAGUUUAUAUUGCCCAUUUUUCUCUCUUGGAGCAUGCAUGGAAGGCCUAAAUAUUUUGUUUACCAAACUAUUAGGAAUUACGUUAUAUGCAGAGCAGCCUGCAAAAGGAGAGGUAUGGUGUGAAGAUGUUCGCAAACUGGCUGUGGUUCAUGAAUCUGAAGGAUUGUUGGGGUACAUUUACUGUGAUUUCUUUCAGCGAGCAGACAAACCACAUCAGGAUUGCCAUUUUACAAUCCGUGGAGGCAGAUUAAAGGAAGAUGGAGACUAUCAGCUCCCAGUCGUAGUUCUUAUGCUGAAUCUUCCCCAUUCCUCAAGGAAUUCACCAACUUUAUUAACUCCUGGAAUGAUGGAAAAUCUUUUCCAUGAAAUGGGACAUGCCAUGCAUUCUAUGCUGGGACGAACUCGUUACCAACACGUCACUGGGACCAGGUGCCCUACUGACUUUGCUGAGGUUCCGUCUAUUCUGAUGGAGUACUUUGCAAAUGACUAUCGGGUGGUUACCCAAUUUGCCAGACACUACCAGACCGGGCAGUCACUGCCCAAAAGUAUGGUGUCUCGGCUUUGUGAAUCUAAAAAGGUGUGCGCUGCAGCUGAUAUGCAACUUCAGGUCUUUUACGCCACUCUGGAUCAAAUCUACCAUGGGAAACACCCCUUGAGGACAUCAACCACAGACAUUCUCAGGGAAACACAGGAGAAAUUUUAUGGCUUACCAUACGUUCCAAAUACUGCCUGGCAGCUUCGAUUCAGCCAUCUUGUGGGCUAUGGUGCCAAGUACUACUCUUACCUGAUGUCCAGGGCAGUAGCUUCCAUGGUGUGGAAAGAGUGUUUUCAACAAGAUCCUUUUAACAGGGCAGCAGGGGAGCGUUAUCGCAGGGAGAUGCUGGCACACGGCGGAGGCAAGGAGCCCAUGCUCAUGGUACAAGCCCUGUGCCAGUAAGCACUAGAAGGAAGAGCACAUCGUGUGAUUUGGAAACCCUUAUUGCUUCAAGAGUCAGUCUUGGAAUCCUUGUGAUAUCAUAAUUUAUUUCAGUCAGGCUCAGAAUAAUUGCCCCGGUACCUCAAGGUUAUGAAACACACUCAUUUGAGCAGAGCAGUCAAGACAAAAGUGUUCUGGCUUGUACCAAUUUUUAUUAGCCCAUUUGCCUCUCAGGUAAAAUGAGGAGAAAAAUAAAUUAAAUCAUCAUUCUUCAACUGCUCAUUAUACAGUCUCUCUUCCUCUAGGACAGGUAUGCUUCAGAAGUGUCCUUCUAUGGAUGACUUUGUAAGUGCCCUUGUUUCCGACUUGGAUCCAGAUUUCGAAACUUUCCUCAUGGAUUCUGAAUGAUAGAAGCACCUUGGAUCUUUUAAAUCAAGAUCGUGUAGAUACGAACUUGGUUGUAAAUGCUACAGCUGUGAACACUCAUUUCUGAUUUCAGUAUUCUAAUUUCUGAAAAACCUUAUACCGAUGGAACUUGGAAUAAAUAAUUUGUUUUAAUUA